rnacentral:rRNA from 1 species
AUUGAACGCUGGCGGCAGGCCUAACACAUGCAAGUCGAGCGGAUGAAGGGAGCUUGCUCCUGUAUUCAGCGGCGGACGGGUGAGUAAUGCCUAGGAAUCUGCCUGGUAGUGGGGGAUAACGUCCGGAAACGGGCGCUAAUACCGCAUCCGUCCUGAGGGAGAAAGUGGGGGAUCUUCGUACCUCACGCUAUCAGAUGAGCCUAGGUCGGAUUAGCUAGUUGGUGGGGUAAAGGCCUACCAAGGCGACGAUCCGUAACUGGUCUGAGAGGAUGAUCAGUCACACUGGAACUGAGACACGGUCCAGAAUCCUACGGGAGGAAGAAGUGGGGAAUAUUGGACAAUGGGCGAAAGCCUGAUCCAGACAUGCCGCGUGUGUGAAGAAGGUCUUCGGAUUGUAAAGAACUUUAAGUUGGGAGGAAGGGCAGUAAGUUAAUACCUUGCUGUUUUGACGUUACAAACAGAAUAAGCACCGGCUAACUUAGUG